rnacentral:rRNA from 1 species
UACGUAGGGGGGCAAGCGUUGUCCGGAAUCAUUGGGCGUAAAGAGCGUGUAGGCGGCCCCGAUAAGUCCGCUGUGAAAAGCCCCGGGGGCUCACCCCCCGGAAGUGCAUUGGAUACUGGCGGACUCGAGUCUCGGAGAGGAGGGUGGAAUUCCUGGUGUAGCGGUGAAAUGCGUAGAUAUCAGGAGGAACACCGGUGGCGAAGGCGGCCCUCUGGACGAUGACUGACGCUGAGGCACGAAAGCGUGGGGAGCAAACAGG